UACGUAGGGUGCGAGCGUUAAUCGGAAUUACUGGGCGUAAAGCGUGCGCAGGCGGUUCGUUGUGUCUGAUGUGAAAGCCCCGGGCUUAACCUGGGAAUGGCAUUGGAAACUGGCGAGCUGGAGUGUGGCAGAGGGGGGUGGAGUUCCGCGUGUAGCAGUGAAAUGCGUAGAGAUGCAGAGGAACACCGAUGGCGAAGGCAGCCCCCUGGGCCAACACUGACGCUCAGGCACGAAAGCGUGGGGAGCAAACAGG
rnacentral:rRNA from 1 species